rnacentral:rRNA from 1 species
UACGUAGGGCGCAAGCGUUGUCCGGAAUUAUUGGGCGUAAAGAGCUCGUAGGCGGCUUGUCACGUCGGAUGUGAAAGCCCGGGGCUUAACUCCGGGUCUGCAUUCGAUACGGGCUAGCUAGAGUGUGGUAGGGGAGAUCGGAAUUCCUGGUGUAGCGGUGAAAUGCGCAGAUAUCAGGAAGAACACCAAUGGCGAAAGCAGCUCUCUGGGACGGUACUGACGCUGAGACGCGAAAGCGUGGGGAGCGAACAGG